UAUAGAGGUCCCAAGCGUUGUUCGGAUUCAUUGGGCGUAAAGGGUGCGUAGGCGGCGCGGUAAGUCGGGUGUGAAAUCUCGGAGCUUAACUCCGAAACUGCAUUCGAUACUGCCGUGCUUGAGGACUGGAGAGGAGACUGGAAUUUACGGUGUAGCGGUGAAAUGCGCAGAUAUCGGGAGGAACACCUAUGGCGAAGGCAGCUCGCUGGGACGGUACUGACGCUGAGACGCGAAAGCGUGGGGAGCAAACAGG
rnacentral:rRNA from 1 species